AGUGAACGCUGGCGGUAGGCCUAACACAUGCAAGUCGAACGGCAGCACAGUAAGAGCUUGCUCUUACGGGUGGCGAGUGGCGGACGGGUGAGGAAUACAUCGGAAUCUACUUUUUCGUGGGGGAUAACGUAGGGAAACUUACGCUAAUACCGCAUACGACCUACGGGUGAAAUCAGGGGAUCUUCGGACCUUGCGCGAUUGAAUGAGCCGAUGUCGGAUUAGCUAGUUGGCGGGGUAAAGGCCCACCAAGGCGACGAUGCGUAGCUGGUCUGAGAGGAUGAUCAGCCACACUGGAACUGAGACACGGUCCAGACUCCUACGGGAGGCAGCAGUAGGGAAUAUUGGACAAUGGGCGCAAGCCUGAUCCAGCCAUACCGCGUGGGUGAUGAAGGCCUUCGGGUUGUAAAGCUCUUUUGUUGGGAAAGAAAAGCAGCAGAUUAAUCCCCCGCUGUUCUGACGGUACCCAAAGAAUAAGCACCGGCUAACUUCGUG
rnacentral:rRNA from 1 species